UCAUGAGGUAGGACAACCGUUUUCUGUUUCUCUGUUCAGGGAGCAGAUAGAACAUGAUGAUUGGAGUUCAUGUGAUUUAUGAUUAACAUCUCUAUAUGAUUAGGGUUGGCAAUACCCUAAUCGCUCCUAUCUGAU